AAAGUCGGGUUGUCUCUCCAAACAUCACACUUUACCCUGUCUGGGAAGGUGAAUUUGGGGUCUCCCCAGUCAGACUCAUCUGCACCCUAAGUGGCUUCUUCCCUGACCAAUUGCAAGUGGAGUGGCAUAAGGACAACCAUCUCUUACAUAUUACUCCAACUCAAACGAAGCUGCAGAGUAUGCAAGGAGAAGAGAAAACCUUCAGUCUAAUCAGCGAUAUUGAGGCCGUGAAUUGGAAAAGCAACUCAACAUUUACAUGCAAGGCUCAACACAACAACGACAAGAAAUUUACAAAAACAGUAAAUUUUGUUCAAAUUUGUUCAAGUGCUGCUCCUUCCAUUGAUGUGGAGAUUCCCAGCUUCAGGACUGUAAUGACAGAAUCUGCAGUGACAGCAAAAUGUUCUGUCAACAAUCGUUUUGGCGCCAAGGUCACCUGGCUGAUGGAUGGAAAAGCUGAAUCAAAAUACAUAGUAACAUCGAAUGCAAACCAAACUCAUACCAUCAGUGAAGUGGCGGUUCCCCCAAGUCAGUGGAAACAACUCAAAUCUAUAACAUGUAAAGCUGACCAUCAGUGUUUCUCCACUCAGAGGACUGUGAAUGUUGCAGGUCCUGCAGUUACAAAUGCAUCAGUGGAGAUCAAGAGAUCUUUCCCAGAUUUGCUGAAGGGACAAAGUGCUGUGCUCGAGUGCGACAUCACAAAACUCUCCUCUAGUGACCUCUACGUCACCUUUCAAGCCAACGAUAGCGACAUCUCUGAAAAACAGUAUGUUGUUCUUCCUGAAGCCCCAGACCCCCAGUCAAUCACCAGACGCUUCUCCAUCCCUUCAAGUUAUUGGAAGAAAGACACAACUUUCUCCUGCAAAGUCCAUCAAGGCUUCUCCCCCAGCGUCAAGUCAAAGUCGACUGGCAACAUUUUUGUGGACCCUUCUGUGGAACUUCUACUGUUCCCCAACGAAUUGUCAGGACCACAGAGACUCUUAUGCUCUGGACGGGGCUUCAACCCUAAAAUUCAAUGGUUGUCUGUGUCCAACAAACUACCUUCAAACAACGACGUCACCAUGGGAGCAGAUGGACGUGUGGUAGUAACCAGUCAACUUCAGAUUCCCCAAACUGAGUGGGAAACAGGGAAAGUCUAUAGUUGUGAGGUGUCUGACACGUCCCUGAGUAAAACUGUCUCCAAGAAUAUCAGCCUCUGCUCAGUAACUCCAGCAUCCUCUCAGAUAGUUGGCGUAUAUGUUCAGGGGCCGCCACUCGAGGAAUUCAAGAAAAAGGAACAGGUGACUAUCACCUGUCUUCUUGUCGGCUCUCGUCUUAAUGAAUUCUCCAUCACCUGGAAAGUAGCUGGGAAAAAAUCUUCUCUGAAUUUCAAAAAAGAGCCACCAGUGAGUCACAGCAAUGGGACAGAGAGUUUGAUGAGCGUCUUCAGUCCGUCCGCAGAGGACUGGCAUGCGCAUAAACAAGUGUCCUGUGAAGCAAAGCACCUAUGCUCCAGCCAGGGCUACGAGGGCCAUACAAGCAAAAGCAGAGUCCUUCAUCAACCAACAGUGAAGAUAAUACAACCAACUGCCUCUGAGCUCUCUGCACCAGACGACCUCCCACUUAUUUGCCUAGUCUCUGGGUUCUACCCACCCAAUGUCAUCGUGUACUGGGAAGGGAGUGGCCAGAGACUCCCAUCAACUCGCUACACCAACAGUGAUGUGUGGACAUACACAGGGAACAGUUCUUAUUCAAUGAGCAGCAGACUGAACAUAUCCAAAACUGAAGACAAGAGCUCUACGUAUUCUUGCUUUGUCAGACAUGAGUCAUCUGAAAAGCCUUUUAAAAACACAAUAAAGAAUGUGUUUGCUACAGUCACUCACACUAAACCUUCAGCCACCUUGCUCCAAGGCACAAACGAACUUGUGUGCCUGGUCUUCGGCUUCAGCCCCGCAUCCAUUAACAUCACAUGGUUCCUUGAUGAAUCCACGCAACUGUUGGACUACAACACUAGCAAGCCCCACAAAAGCCAGAAUGGAAAGUUCAGUGUCCGAAGCCACCUUCGUCUGCCCAAAGGCAACUGGUUACCAGGAGCAACCGUAACCUGCAGGGUGUCACAUGCAACCACCAACCUAUCCCUGAAUAUAUCGAACCUAGACAACUUGGAGCACUGCACUUUCUUCGAUGAACUUUUGAAUGCUGAUGUGAAUCAAGAUAUAGGUGUGGAAAGCUGGUAUAUGGCUUUAACUUUUCUGCUUCUUUUCCUGAUCUCUGUCAUCUUUGGUGUCUCAGCUACCAUGAUUAAAACUAAAUGAUGGUGAUCGCGGGACAGAUCCCUUGUAAUGAUCCAAAUUUGGAUAGUUAAUGUCUUAUGGCUUAGAAAGUUUUAACUUUUUUAAUUCUUUUUCCCUUUUUCUUUAUUUUAUGUUUCUAUUAUUGUGGAUUGCAUUGUAUUGCCUCUUCAAAUGUCAACGUUGAGUUUUAAAUCCCAAUAUAAUGAACAAAUAUUCUUUGACUGGAGUCUUUCUUGUUCUUCAAAAACGAUGUUGAUAACAAAAACGAUGUUGAUAACAAUAAAAUAAAUGAUAACA